rnacentral:rRNA from 1 species
AGAGGUCCAGCCUGCCCAGUGACUCUGUUCAACGGCCGCGGUAUCCUAACCGUGCGAAGGUAGCGUAAUCACUUGUUCUUUAAAUGAGGACUAGUAUGAACGGCACCACGAGGGUUAAGCUGUCUCCCUUUUCUAAUCAGUGAAACUAAUCCCCCCGUGAAGAAGCGGGGAUAAAUCUAUAAGACGAGAAGACCCUAUGGAGCUUCAAACACACAACAAAUGCCCCGCCUCUUGUUAAUCUCCGGAAAACCAUUUACCCGGGCACUUUGACUUCAAGUUUUAGGUUGGGGUGACCGCGGAGUAUAAAAUAUCCUCCACAGCGAACGGGACCUAAUCCCUAAGCUCAGAGCUACAACCCUACGAAUCAAUAAAUUGACACCCAUUGACCCAAUAUUUUUGACCAACGAAC